GACGGGGGGGGCAAGUGUUCUUCGGAAUGACUGGGCGUAAAGGGCACGUAAGCGGUGAAUCGGGUUGAAAGUGAAAGUCGCCAAAAAGUGGCGGAAUGCUCUCGAAACCAAUUCACUUGAGUGAGACAGAGGAGAGUGGAAUUUCGUGUGUAGGGGUGAAGUCCGUAGAUCUACGAAGGAACGCCAAAAGCGAAGGCAGCUCUCUGGGUCCCUACCGACGCUGGGGUGCGAAAGCAUGGGGAGCGAACAGG
rnacentral:rRNA from 1 species